rnacentral:rRNA from 1 species
UGGCGGACGGGUGAGUAACACGUAGAUAAUCUGCCCCUAUCACAGGCAUAACGUUUGGAAACGGACGCUAAUUCCUGAUGAGGUGUUUACAUCAAAGUUUCGACGGAUAGGGAUGAGUCUGCGUCUGAUUAGCUAGUUGGUAAGGUAAUGGCUUACCAAGGCGACGAUCAGUAGCUGGUUUGAGAGGAUGAUCAGCCACACUGGAACUGAGACACGGUCCAGACUCC